rnacentral:misc_RNA from 1 species
AUCAGGAAGAUCAAGGUCCUGCAUGAAGCAGAAAAAUUAAAUCUGUAGUUGAAAUAAUUCGUAUGAUGAUAUACAACCAGCAUUAUGACUUCAAAAAAAAAUAUAUUAUUAGAAAAAAAAAACUAGGCAAGCAUUCACAAUUGACUGACUGAUCCAACAUUCAGAACAUAAGGAUCAUCUGAUCAUGUUGCUUACACAAAAAUGUGGUUCUCAAGAAUAAAUCCAUAUCACAUGCAUAUGGCAGAAGAUAUAGUUGACAGAAUUUUCAUAGGGUAUUUCAGUAAUAUGUAACUCAUGCACAAUUUAUGUCAUUUACACACAAAAGCAUCAGAUACCAACAAUUUUUUUUUUUUUUAAAUUCUCCAUAUGUGGAAAAAACAAAAUCCAUUGCAACACACAAUCAAUUCAAAGUUGUUUCAAUCUAUCUGAUAGAAUAGUAUAAAAAUGAUAUAGCAAAAAUUGUUAAAAUACCUCAGUUCCAAGUCUCUUGUUCA